rnacentral:lncRNA from 1 species
AAAAAAGAAAAUAAAAAAAAUCAAAGAAGAAAAGAAUAAAGAGAAAUAGAAGUUGGGGAUAGAAGAGAGAAAAAAAAUAAAAGCAAAUAAAAAAAUAGAAAAAAGAGUAAGAAAAAAUGAGGAAAACACAAAAAAUAAAAAAUAUUAAAAAAUGAUAGUGUUUUUGACGAGAUUAAAUAUGUAGUGUAUUUAUAUUUUUUAUGAAUACAGA